GCCACAACUCUACGUCCAUAAAACCAACCAAGUAGGGGUGGUACUCGAAUCAGCUUCUGGGAAAGUAAUUAUCCUCCUUUCGUCAUUUCGCUAACAGGAACAAGAAGUUUCCCCAAUUAUAACUAGCCAAAUCCCAAGCCCUUUGCAUCUCCUCGUUUAAGCUUUUUCAUUGUUCACGUUCGAACAACUAGAGAGAGAGAGAGAGAGAGAGGGAGAGAUUUCAGUCGUUUAGUGCAUCAGAAACGAGGAGCAGGAGGGAGGUUGUUUGAGGAAGGCAAGAAAAGACUGAUGGUUGUGGGGGUUCGAGGGUUUUUUUCAUCAGAAACGAGGAAAGGGAUAGGGGAAAAAGAACAUCUAUGAUCAUUCUUUUGAUCCUUUGCUUCUUCUAGAUAAUAUGCCUCAAAGAAAGAAUGAAGAAGCGUUCAAGCAUGAUUUAUCAUGUAUUGUCGUAUGAACCAUCCAAUCUGUUGUAUGAAAUCUGAAACUCUCAAGUCGAUCUCGUCACCAGUCACCAGACUCACCACCCCCAUUAAUUAUUUUACAGCCUCUCUCAACCCUCUCUUUCUUGUCUCUCUCAUAUUUAUUUACUAGUAGCAUCUAACAGGCCUCAUCACCCAUCUUAAAUGGUUCCCAACUGCCUCUGCUCUUUUUUCAAUCUCUCCUACAUUCAUAUUCCUUCUUGAGAUGCUUCUUUGCCUCCCUGCAAGUAUUCUGACUUUGUUUCAAAGCCUUGGCAGUGGGAGAGAUUAUUACAGUACAGUGGUCGAUGGAUGCUUACGGAAAUAUUCAUGGUGGUUUAACAAAGGGUUUCCCACAGAGUUUUAUUGGCAUUCUGUCCACCUCCAUAUUAAUUCAGACCAAUGAAAUAUGCAUUCUACAAAAUAAACUCAAUACACUUGUAUUCUGUUUUUGGGGGAGGUGGGCAUACUGCCAACUGAGCUCUGUUGGUUUCUCUUUGCGGAACCCUCGUGAUACUCGUUUACAGAUUUCAGACGUGGGUUUCUCCAGAGCGGCGGUUCAUGUUUGUUUUCUCCCUUGCUUUUCUCUGAAACGCUGAAUCACCAGGUAGACUCAGCUCAUAUGUUGUGUGCAAAGAUAUGAAUUUUCUGUGGUUCAACUCAAUCCUUGUCUCAUCUUGGACUAGUUGUAACGUAGGAUCCCUUUAAAUGAUGAUACCAUCCAUCCGUCGUUGUUUAGUUCUGUGAUGCAUUUUAUUUAGGUGCUAAGGCAAAUUCUUAUCUGGAGGAGAUGAAAAGCAUCUUCGUGUAGAGAUUUGCUAGCUAGUCAACGGUGUCCAUCGUUUAGCAACCAACCCAAGAUUCAUACGGGCAAGGAAAUUUUCAUGGUUUUGUUUCAUGAUAUCAUUUCUUUUGCAAAUAUGAAACCCCAAAUCUUCUACUACCUUCUAAAACUAGCUAUUGUUACAACCAUAUAAUGGUUUUGGGGCAGGCAGGAGGAAUAUUAUUACCACUCUAUCCCCUUUUGUUUUGUGGCUGAGUACAGACUAUUGUAUAUUGAACUUAAGAAAACUCGUAGUAUCAUGCUUCAUGGCUUCACUUUGUUUCUUUAUGGAUUGACGCAUUUUUGGCACCGUUUGUUUUCUCAUUCAUCUGCACUUAACCGUGUAGACGGGAAUUUAUAGCAUAUAAUUAAUGGUUUUUGGGGUAGGCAGGAGGCAUUGGUGGAAACCGGAAUUGAGAUUGAUGCGAAGAAGCUACUCUUCGUUUUGUUGUAUAAUAUUCGUGUAAAGUACUAAAAAGCCACGCUUAAGGAGAGGGAAGUACUGUGGGUGAUUAGGGGGUCUAACAGUAGCGGCAGCGGAACCCCCAUCUUUUUUGAAACCUUUGCUUUACGCUCUCCAACGUAGUUCUUGCUUGCUCAUGAUUGAAGUCUGACAUAUUUUACCCACUAAAUCCUGUAAAGUAAGCCUGCUCCUGAAUAUGCCACUAAAUUUUGUUGGACACAAGGAUGGGCGGUUUAAGGGUUCUUGAUUAUGAAUUAGCUAGGAGCACAAUAGAUUCCCACAUAUUCGUUUUAUUUCUACUUUCUGCUGUCUAGCUUUCUAUCUAUUAAUGGUUGACCUCAUUUCUUAUUUGUGUGGCAUGAUUUUUUAUUAUUAUUUUUUAAUCUUUGAUGAAUGCUUAUUAUGUAUGGCACGAAUGAAAUUGCUUUGAAAUAAUUUGAAGUGGAAGUAACAUGCACUCGGGUCUGCCUUUGUUUAUGUAAUACGAAAAAUAGCAGUUACAGCUCUAACUUGGACUCUCAAUGGUAAGUUAUGAUCCUUGUGAAAUGAAUAAAUUGGACCAAACUGUCGAUUCAUGAGAACGAGUUAUUGAAACUGUAAGUUGAAUUCUUGUAUGUUCACAUUCAUAUUUUUAUUUACUUAUUUUUACCCAUUUAUUUUUAACUUCCGAUGGAAUGAACGGAAGAAAAACAAUGAAUGACUUGAAGAUACAUUAUUUGGAAUAACUCUAUAGUCUAAUUUUGGGAAUGAAAAUGUACGUGAGAUGAAAAUGUUGUUGGGAAUAUAAAAAAAAAAUUUGUUAAAAAAUGUGUUUGUAAUUUUUUACAAGAAAGCCAAGAAAAAAAAAAGGGUAUCCAAACAAUCAAGGUGCUCAUUUUCUUUAACAAUUGUCUCGGUAUUUGCAGCUUUGAAGAAGAAGCACGAGGUAGAAUUUGCUUGGCGACCUACCUAGAAUAACAAGUCUGUAGCAGUAGAAUGCAUUCUUUGGCUGUUAGAAGAAGGUUGAGAGGAAAUAUGGGGGAGACAAUGCACGUUAGGGUAUCAUAAUUCGUAAUUCUAUUCUUCCCAGAAAUUGCUGGUUGCAUUUAGUGAGGCCAGUGGGGGAAAUGAUAUCCUAUCCGAUGUUUUGUUUUCUUAUCAAAACAUGAGCUGUUAGGUGUUAGUGUGGUACUAGUACUUAAUUUCCCUAGCCAACAGCCAUAAAUGAUGUUUUGCCCCCUUUAUCAAACCUGAUGAGUGCUGAUGGUUCCCGGAAUUUGGAUGCUCUCAUGCAAAGACGUGAAACUAAACCUUUUCCUUGGACGUGAUGCUUCAUAAUUAGUAGAGUCUUUUGCAUGUAGCGUCUUUCAAAUUUCACCACUUCCAUUAGCAGUGUUCAAGGUUCUUUGUUGCAGUUAAAAGUGCAUGGCUAUUUGCAAACCAUCGGGAAAAGACCGAGAACAGUAGUGGGUGAGCUUGCAAAUCCAUCUCUGGCUUGAAGCGUGCGUUGUUUUCCUUCGAGUCUUAAAACCGAAUUCUUCUCAAUUUGUCUAUCCUCUUAAAAGUUGUUCCGCCUUGGAAACCACAGUGAAGAGAAAAGGUUAUACCACGUCGCGCAGGUUUAUUCAGGAAGGCUGCGAAAGUGAGUGCUUUGUGCGGAGUUGAUGUUGCCUGUCAUUGUUGAAUCUCCUGCAUGAAAUAUCUUUGCCUCCGUCUGCUACUCCCCUGUCAAUUCCAUCAUUGAUCCAUGUCAUGCUUCAACCUCGUUGUCAAGUUCUAACGGCGGUAAUCGGCUGCAGGAAGUUGGUGGUGGUAGUGAAGAUCAAAGAUGAGGAACAUGAUGACAAAAAAGCAAUCGAAGAUCAUCAAAGAGAUACAAAUUAAUGUGUAAUACUAUAAAGUAAAGUAAGGGUAGUCAACAGUUUUGGUGGGAAGGGCCGUUUGAUGAUCUUUGAAGUGAAUGAACUUGAAGAAUACAUCGCUGCCUUGGAAUGUUCGAAGAAGAUAAUGUAUCGGCUAAAGCUGAAGAAAUGGCCAGGGUUAAUACUGUUGCCUCAUUGUUGAUUUUGGCUUGGUGGGCUUCCUAGUGUUCAUUAUGCAGAGAAUUUAUUUUAUUGCAUUGCCGGAAUUUUCUACUAUUUAAUUUUCUCUCUUUGCUCUUCGAAGUGAGGGAUUAUUUACCUCAGUUGAUUA